rnacentral:lncRNA from 1 species
UUAAUUCUGAUUUGCGUUAUCUGAACUUUGGUCUUGUUCUAGGCAUGACUCUUCUUUGUCCGUUGCUCUUUCUAGCUGCAACAGCAGAACUGAAACUCUCCUCGUAGCACCAAUAUUUGGCCACAAAAUAUGACUGAGUGUGUGAGCAUGCAAGUAUCUGCAGCCUGGGAAAGCACUGUGCACUGCUAGGACACAUCGGUCACGCAGGAGGAAUCUCCUACAGCUGGUGGUGGAGCUUGGGGGAACUGCUGAGGAGGUGUCUGUGUCAUCUUGGUGCAAAUGAGCCCAAGGAGCCAGGGAGGAUUUUCCUCCAGAAGAGGUACCCAAGCUCUUUUGUUGACUGCCUGCUAUCAAGGGGAAGGAGGGAUGGACCAUCGU